GUACGGGAGGCAGCAGUGAGGAAUAUUGCGCAAUGGGCGAAAGCCUGACGCAGCGACGCAGCGUGAGGGAUGAAGGCCUUCGGGUUGUAAACCUCUUUCAGCGGGGACGAAGCGAAAGUGACGGUACCCGCAGAAGAAGCACCGGCUAACUACGUGCCAGCAGCCGCGGUAAUACGUAGGGUGCAAGCAUUGUCCGGAUUUAUUGGGCAUAAAGAGCUCGUAGGCGGCUUGUCACGUCGGAUGUGAAAACUCGGGGCUCAACCCCGAGCCUGCAUUCGAUACGGGCUAGCUAGAGUGUUGCAGGGGAGACUGGAAUUCCUGGUGUAGCGGUGAAAUGCGCAGAUAUCAGGAGGAACACCGGUGGCGAAGGCGGGUCUCUGGGCAACUACUGACGCUGAGGAGCGAAAGCGUGGGGAGCGAACAGGAUUAGAUACCCGCGUA
rnacentral:rRNA from 1 species